AUUGAACGCUGGCGGCAGGCCUAACACAUGCAAGUCGAGCGGAUGAAUGGAGCUUUCUCCUGUAUUCAGCUGCGGACGGGUGAGUAAUUCCUAGGAAUCUACCUGGUAUUUGGGGAUAACGUCCGUUAACGGGCGCUAAUACCGCAUACGUCCUGAUGGUGAAAGGGGGGGAUCUUCGGUCCUCACGGUAUCAGCUGUGCCUAAGUCGGAUUUGCUAGUUGGUUGGGUAAAGGCUUACCAAGGCGACGAUCCGUAACUGGUCUGAGAGGAUGAUCAGUCACACUGGAACUGAGACACGGUCCAGACUCCUACGGGAGGCAGCAGUGGGGAAUCUUCGACAAUGGGCGAAAGCCUGAUCGAGCCAUGCCGCGUGUGUGAAGAAGGUCUUCGGAUUGUAAAGCUCUUUUAGUAGGGAGGAAGGGCAGUAAGAUAAUCCAUUGCUGUUUUGACGUUACCAACAGAAUAAGCCACGGCUAACUUCGUG
rnacentral:rRNA from 1 species